rnacentral:rRNA from 1 species
UACGAAGGGGGCUAGCGUUGUUCGGAAUUACUGGGCGUAAAGCGCACGUAGGCGGACUAUUAAGUCAGGGGUGAAAUCCCGGGGCUCAACCCCGGAACUGCCUUUGAUACUGGUAGUCUCGAGUCCGGAAGAGGUGAGUGGAAUUCCGAGUGUAGAGGUGAAAUUCGUAGAUAUUCGGAGGAACACCGGUGGCGAAGGCGGCGAUCUGGGUAGAUACUGACGCUGAGGUGCGAAAGCAUGGGGAGCGAACAGG